rnacentral:rRNA from 1 species
AAUCAUGAGAACGCUGGCGGCGUGCCUAAUACAUGCAAGUCGAGCGGACCGACGGGAGCUUGCUCCCUUAGGUCAGCGGCGGACGGGUGAGUAACACGUGGGUAACCUGCCUGUAAGACUGGGAUAACUCCGGGAAACCGGGGCUAAUACCGGAUGCUUGAUUGAACCGCAUGGUUCAAUCAUAAAAGGGGGCUUUUAACUACCAAUUAAAGAUGGGCCCGCGGCGCAUUAACUAGUUGGGGAGGGAACGGCUCAACAAGGCGACGAUGCCUAGCCCACCUGAGAGGGUGAUCGGCCAAACUGGGACUGAGACAAGGCCCAAACUCCUACGGGAGGCAACAGUAGGGAAUCUUCCGCAAUGGACGAAAGGCUGACGGAGCAACGCCGCGUGAGUGAUGAAGGUUUGGAUCGUAAAACUCUGGUGGUAGGGAAGAACAAGUACCGUUCGAAUAGGGCGGUACCUUGACGGUACCUAACCAGAAAGGCAAGGCUAACUACGUGCCAGCAGCCGGGUAAUAAC